ACCCUCUUAGGGUCGCAGCUGAAGAGUUUCCAGUACUCUCCCGGUCUCGACUACGGGAGGGAGAGUCAAGCAGAGGCACACCCAUUCCAUUCCUAGCUUGGACAGUGGCUAGUGAGUGGAAGGCAAUCUGCUACAAGU